rnacentral:rRNA from 1 species
GAUGAACGCUGGCGGCGUGCUUAACACAUGCAAGUCGAGCGAAGCACUUAAGUUUGAUUCUUCGGAUGAAGACUUUUGUGACUGAGCGGGCGUAGGGUGAAGGUACGCUAGGUAACGUGCUCAUCAGGGGAUAACAGUUAGAAAUGGCUGCUAAUACCGCAUAAGACCACAGUACUGCAUGGUACAGUGGUAAAAACUCCGGUGGUAUGAGAUGGACCCGCGUCUGAUUAGGUAGUUGGUGAGGUAAUGGCUCACCAAGGCGACGAUCAGUAGCCGGACUGAGAGGUUGAACGGCCACAUUGGGACUGAGAUACGGCCCAG